UACGUAGGUGGCAAGCGUUGUCCGGAUUUAUUGGGUUUAAAGGGUGCGUAGGCGGCCCUGUAAGUCAGUGCUGAAAUAUCCCGGCUUAACCGGGAGGGUGGCAUUGAUACUGCGGGGCUAGAGUACAGAUGAGGUAGGCGGAAUUGACGGUGUAGCGGUGAAAUGCUUAGAUAUCGUCAAGAACACCGAUAGCGAAGGCAGCUUACUAGGCUGUAACUGACGCUGAGGAGCGAAAGCAUGGGUAGCGAACAGG
rnacentral:rRNA from 1 species